UAUAUUUAUCAAUGGACACUCUCUCUCCAGGAUCGAGAUUGAGUAAUUUCUCAUCGAACUCAUCAAUAAAAUGGGAGGAAUUGUUUCUAACAGUAGAACUCGGUUGAGAAGAAUUAAACUUCGUCAAAAAUACAUCCAUCUCAAUUCAUAAGAAUAAGAACUUUCUACGAAAAAUGAGUCCAAUAAAUUUAAGAGUCUAUCAAGAAUACAAAUAAACACAAUAUUAAUAGAGCAAUCACAUCCCUUUAUCAAGAAUAAGACAAAUACUUCAACUUGUUGAAUCAAUUUAAGAGUCUAUCAAGAAUACAAACAAACACAUUAUGAAUAGAGCAAUCACACCCAUUUAUCAAGAGUAAAACAAAUACUUCAACUUAUUGAAUCUAAUACUAAUUUUUUUUUUAAAAGAAACAGAAAAUAGAAAUUAGAAAUAGAAGAACAAACAUUUGAUUUCAAAAAUGACCAAAAUGGCUCAAAGUAAGGCACAAAACUAGUAUAACAGGAGUCCAUAACCUCAAAAUUACAUAUACUCUUACACUUUUCCAAAUAUCUCAAACAUCAAAUACUAAAACUUAGCAAACUAUUUUUUGGAAACGAAAAAACAAGAUCGUACUGAAGACAGCUUCUAAUCGAACAAACUGAAUCAAACAUACUAAAAAUUCUUCAAUUUAAAAGAAAAUUAGAGUUUCAAAGUAAGAGAAGCGUUAAGUUGCAAAUAAAGAAUAAGUUUUGAAGUAAGAAAAGCACUAACCAGAGAUUGAGGAAGAAUGAUUCUCUAUUUUGAAGUGAGAAGUGAUGGAGGCGGACUGGUGGAGCCUGGAGGAGAUCUUUGAUUUUUGAUUGAGGAAUAACGAAGAAGUGAAGAAGAAGAAGAAGAUCUGGGGAAGCAGCGGCGUAAAUUGAAAUUGGGGAACUGGGGCAGUGACUGGAAAUUGGGCGUGAAUGUAAUGGGAAUGGGGACUUUUGACUAAUAUUAUUUAAUUAUUUAAAGUGUAAAAUAUAAUUGAAUUGUGAUUUGUUCCAACUGGAACAUAGUUGAGUAUUAUUUAAAAUAACC
rnacentral:lncRNA from 1 species